rnacentral:rRNA from 1 species
GAUGAACGCUGGCGGCGUGCCUAAUACAUGCAAGUCGAGCGAACGGACGAGAAGCUUGCUUUUCUGAUGUUAGCGGCGGACGGGUGAGUAACACGUGGAUAACCUACCUAUAAGACUGGGAUAACUUCGGGAAACCGGAGCUAAUACCGGAUAAUAUUUUGAACCGCAUGGUUCAAAAGUGAAAGACGGUCUUGCUGUCACUUAUAGAUGGAUCCGCGCUGCAUUAGCUAGUUGGUAAGGUAACGGCUUACCAAGGCAACGAUGCAUAGCCGACCUGAGAGGGUGAUCGGCCGCACUGGAACUGAGACACGGUCCAGACUCCUACGGGAGGCAGCAGUAGGGAAUCUUCCGCAAAGGGCGAAAGCCUGACGGAGCAACGCCGCGUGAGUGAUGAAGGUCUUCGGAUCGUAAAACUCUGUUAUUAGGGAAGAACAUAUGUGUAAGUAACUGUGCACAUCUUGACGGUACCUAAUCAGAAAGCCACGGCUAACUACGUG